UGAAAUUAAAGUGCCAAAUCAACUAAAAAAGAUGAACACAACCAUAGUUCAUGCUACCACAUGAUGUGAGUUGAUUUUAGGUUGAUUCAUUAGGUAACACUUUUUAGAAUUAGGAUCGGUAAUUCUUAAGCAAUUAAGGUGAGAAGUCUAAGGAAAAUCCCCACUGGACAUUAACUUAACAAAUUCCUUUACCAAAUUUGCCAAACAAUGAGGACUAUCUA
rnacentral:lncRNA from 1 species